GCCGGGCAUGGUGGCUCAUGCCUGUAAUCCCAGCAAUUUGGGAGGCCGAGGUGGGUGGAUCACCUGAGGUCGGGAGUUUGAAACCAGCCUGACCAACAUGGAGAAACCCCAUCUCUA
rnacentral:SRP_RNA from 1 species